AAAAAUGAAGUCAAAAUUAUCGUCGACGAUUUCCUUACAAGAGAUAGUUGCAUUUAUGCCAUUUUUA
rnacentral:tRNA from 1 species